rnacentral:misc_RNA from 1 species
CGACAUCUUAACCCCAAUUGGUUUCUUGGCGAGCACUGAUAAUACCAAAAUCACUAAGUCUUCCACAGAAUUACAAUACAGUAGUAGUCCAUUACAACACUCCUGUACAGGAGUUUUAGAUACAUAGAGCGGCUUGCACUCACCAUUAUGAACCAAAGUAGCAUCAAACUGAAUGAAUUCCCCUCGCACCCAACAUACUGGGUACUGGGUGCUAAGUUUGAUUUCCUCAUUAUCAUGCAAGCCAUCCAGGCAAGUAACUACUUCCGCUCGGUCCUGGUCCUGAAGCAAUUGUUAUUUGAUCAGGAGGGUACCCAAUUUGUAGAGUGGGUUCACACUCCAAUGGAUGGAAGAAUCCGUUGCCCUGCGGCUGAGCUUGCUGCGCGGCGUAUCCAGCAGCAUGAACAUUGGCCUCCCAAACUUGCUGCUGAUUCGCAUGGCUAGUUUCCUCCAACCUUCUUCUGAGGCUCUUGUUAGCCUCACAGAGCAUUUGUUCCCUUCUUUGAAGAUCUGAGAGCUGAUCCAGCAUGAACUGGGUCCGAGUUGAUCGGAUUAACUUCAAAGAUGUGUCUAGUUGGCGCUCCAGUUGCUCGAGCUCCUUGGUGUUGAGGGGGCCUAAAUCCUCGCCUAGGAGAUUCCUUUGAGAUCGUUGUAAUGCUUCCACCUUUGCUUUAAGUUUCAAGUACUCCUGCUGACUAUUCUGAGUCUCCCUUGAAACUAUAUUUGUCUCAGGAGCUCCAUAAUUGCAUUUUUGGUACCUCUCAAGUGUCCUCAUCAUACUGGAAGUGCUGCUGAACUCGUACAGUUUCCCCCUGUUGGAGAAGAUGAUGAGCGCCACCUCCGCAUCGCACAGCACCGAGAGCUCAUACGCCUUCUUCAGCAGUCCGUUCCGCCGCUUAGCGAACGUGACCUGGCGGUUGAUCUUGUUCUCGAUCCGCUUCAGCUCCACUCUCCCCCGCCCCAUCCCCUCCUCUCCCAAUACAGAAAUUAAUCUCAACAAAAGUUGGGGGCAGUUGAAAACUGGAACAGAAGGAGGUGGAGCUCCUCUU